rnacentral:rRNA from 1 species
CGUAGGUGGCAAGCGUUGUCCGGAAUUAUUGGGCGUAAAGGGCGUGUAGGUGGAUUCUUAAGUCGUGUGUCUAAGUGCGGAGCUCAACUCCGUAUAGGCGCAGGAAACUGGGGAAUCUUGAGUGCAGGAGAGGAAAGUGGAAUUCCCAGUGUAGCGGUGAAAUGCGUAGAUAUUGGGAGGAACACCAGUGGCGAAGGCGACUUUCUGGACUGUGUCUGACACUGAGGCGCGAAAGCUAGGGGAGCGAACGGGAUUAGAUACCCCGGUAGUCCUAGCCGUAAACGAUGGGUACUAGGGUGUAGAGGGUAUCGACCCCUUCUGUGCCGGAGUUAACGCAAUAACGUACCCCGCCUGGGGAGUACGGCCGCAAGGUUG